rnacentral:rRNA from 1 species
UACAUGGGGUGCAAACGUUGCUCGGAAUUAUUGGGCGUAAAGCGCGCGUAGGCGGUUCCCUAAGUCGGACGUGAAAGCCCUCGGCUUAACCGAGGAAGUGCAUCCGAAACUGAGCAGCUAGAGUACGAAAGAGGGUCGCGGAAUUCCCGGUGUAGAGGUGAAAUUCGUAGAUAUCGGGAGGAACACCGGCGGCGAAGGCGGCGACCUGGGUCGAGACUGACGCUGAGGCGCGAAAGCGUGGGGAGCAAACAGG